AAGAGCCAUCUUUUCCACUUUGGUCUCACCCAACUCCAUGGCCAAGGAAUCCCAAGAAGAUUGGAGGAUACGCUCAACAUCACCCUAGAGUAGCUUAUGGCAAAAACUUGAAGACUAAUCAGCUCACAAGAGUAAACAGCUCUGAAGAAGAAAAGCCCUCAGUUAGGAGAAGAGAGAGAGUGGCAAGGGGAACAUUCCGGAAGCCAGGCUCUCCAGUGCUGGCCAAACCACUGAUUUGUUUUUUAAAUUGAUUUUGCUUCUCUUGCGUUAGAUUACUUGUGUGUGAAAAUGACUUUGGGAAAUA